GAGUUUGAUCCUGGCUCAGGAUGAACGCUAGCGGCAGGCCUAAUACAUGCAAGUCGGACGGGAUCUAGAUCUAAGCUUGCUUAGAUUUAGUGAGAGUGGCGCACGGGUGCGUAACGCGUGAGCAACCUACCCAUAUCAGGGGGAUAGCCCGGAGAAAUCCGGAUUAACACCGCAUGACACAACGACUCGGCAUCGAGAUGUUGUUAAAUAUUUAUAGGAUAUGGAUGGGUUCGCGUGACAUUAGCUAGUUGGUAAGGUAACGGCUUACCAAGGCUACGAUGUCUAGGGGCUCUGAGAGGAGAAUCCCCCACACUGGUACUGAGACACGGACCAGACUCCUACGGGAGGCAGCAGUAAGGAAUAUUGGUCAAUGGGGGGAACUCUGAACCAGCCAUGCCGCGUGCAGGAUGACUGCUCUAUGGGUUGUAAACUGCUUUUGUCCAGGAAUAACCACCACUACGUGUAGUGGCUUGAAUGUACUGGAAGAAUAAGGAUCGGCUAACUCCGUGCCAGCAGCCGCGGUAAUACGGAGGAUCCGAGCGUUAUCCGGAUUUAUUGGGUUUAAAGGGUGCGUAGGCGGCUCAUUAAGUCAGGGGUGAAAGACGGCAGCUCAACUGUCGCAGUGCCUUUGAUACUGAUGAGCUUGAAUGUGGUUGAAGAUGGCGGAAUGAGACAAGUAGUGGUGAAAUGCAUAGAUAUGUCUCAGAACUCCGAUUGCGAAGGCAGCUGUCUAAGUCAUUAUGACNGCUGAUGCACGAAAGCGUGGGGAUCGAACAGGAUUAGAUACCCUGGUAGUCCACGCCCUAAACGAUGAUAACUCGAUGUUGGCGAUACACAGUCAGCGUCUUAGCGAAAGCGUUAAGUUAUCCACCUGGGGAGUACGCCCGCAAGGGUGAAACUCAAAGGAAUUGACGGGGGCCCGCACAAGCGGAGGAGCAUGUGGUUUAAUUCGAUGAUACGCGAGGAACCUUACCCGGGCUUGAAAGUUACUGAAUUAUCUAGAGAUAGAUAAGUCCUUCGGGACAGGAAACUAGGUGCUGCAUGGCUGUCGUCAGCUCGUGCCGUGAGGUGUUGGGUUAAGUCCCGCAACGAGCGCAACCCCUAUGUUUAGUUGCCAGCAUGUAAUGAUGGGGACUCUAAACAGACUGCCAGCGUAAGCUGUGAGGAAGGUGGGGACGACGUCAAGUCAUCAUGGCCCUUACGUCCGGGGCUACACACGUGCUACAAUGGAUGGUACAGCGGGCAGCUACCUGGUAACAGGAUGCUAAUCUCGAAAAGCCAUUCACAGUUCGGAUUGAGGUCUGCAACUCGACCUCAUGAAGUUGGAUUCGCUAGUAAUCGCGUAUCAGCAAUGACGCGGUGAAUACGUUCCCGGGCCUUGUACACACCGCCCGUC
rnacentral:rRNA from 1 species